rnacentral:pre_miRNA from 1 species
UGUAAACAUCCGACUGAAAGCCCCUUCAAGCACCAUACAGCUUCCAGUCAAGGAUGUUUACA